UACGGAGGGUGCAAGCGUUGUCCGGAAUCACUGGGCGUAAAGGGCGCGUAGGCGGCCUGGUAAGUAGGGGGUGAAAUCUCAUGGCUCAACUGUGAGGCUGCCUUCUAGACUGCCGGGCUUGAGCACGGUAGAGGCUGGUGGAAUUCCCGGUGUAGCGGUGGAAUGCGUAGAGAUCGGGAAGAACAUCCGUGGCGAAGGCGGCCAGCUGGGCCAUCUGCUGACGCUGAGGCGCGAAAGCGUGGGGAGCAAACAGG
rnacentral:rRNA from 1 species